rnacentral:rRNA from 1 species
UACGAAGGGGGCUAGCGUUGUUCGGAAUCACUGGGCGUAAAGGGUGCGUAGGCGGUUCUUUAAGUCAGGGGUGAAAUCCUGGAGCUCAACUCCAGAACUGCCUUUGAUACUGAGGAUCUUGAGUUCGGGAGAGGUGAGUGGAACUGCGAGUGUAGAGGUGAAAUUCGUAGAUAUUCGCAAGAACACCAGUUGCGAAGGCGGCUGACUGGACACAUAUUGACGCUGAGGCUCGAAAGCAUGGGGAGCAAACAGG